AUCCACCGUAUGCCUUGGCGCCAAUGAGCGAUGAAGGACGUGGCAGACUGCGAAAAUCUUCGGUUAGUUGUCUAGCAAACUGUAAUCCGGAGGUGUCCGAAUGGGGAAACCCGUCAUGGUGAAAAUCAUGUCACUGCAUACUGAAUCAAUAGGUGUGUAGAGCGAACCCGGGGAAGUGAAACAUCUCAGUACCCGGAGGAAUAGAAAUCAAUUGAGAUUCCCCUAGUAGCGGCGAGCGAACGGGGAGUAGGCCAAACCAGUCGACAUGUCGGCUGGGGUUGUGGGGCGGUCAACGUGGACCUUGGAAAUUAGUGGAACGUUCUGGAAAGUUCGAGCAGAGAGGGUGAUACUCCCGUACACGAAAAUUGAAGAGGCCUAGACCUGUCCCCGAGUACCACAGGACACGUGAAAUCCGGUGGGAAUCUGGGUGGACCAUCAUCCAAGCCUAAAUAUUGUUAGCGACCGAUAGCGUAUAGUACCGUGAGGGAAAGGUGAAAAGUACCCCGAUGAGGGGAGUGAAAGAGUACCUGAAACCGUAUAUCUACAAUCGGUGGAAGAGCUAUGCCCGUAAGGGAAUGCUCGACCGCGUACCUUUUGCAUCAUGGGUUGGCGAGUCAGUGUCAGCAGCGAGGUUAAGCCGAGAAAGGUGUAGCCGAAGCGAAAGCGAGUCUGAAUAGGGCGCAUAGUUGCUGGCAUUGGACCCGAAGCCGAUUGAUCUACGCAUGGCCAGGUUGAAGCGGGGGUAAUACCUCGUGGAGGACCGAACCCAUUGAAGUUGAAAAUUCUUGGGAUGAGCUGUGCGUAGGGGUGAAAGGCCAAUCAAAAUCGGUAAUAGCUGGUUCUCUCCGAAAGAUAUUUAGGUAUCGCCUCGAAUGGUCAGUGUCGGAGGUAGAGCACUGAAAGGGCUAGGGCGCUUACCGGCGUACCAACCCCUAUCAAACUCCGAAUGCCGACAACUGUAGUUCGGGAGACAGGCUGCGGGUGAUAAGGUCCGUAGCCAAAAGGGAAACAGCCCAGAUCAUCAGCUAAGGUCCCCAAGUUCUAACUAAGUGGAGAAGGAUGUGGAAGCGCACAGACAACCAGGAGGUUGGCUUAGAAGCAGCAAUCCUUUAAAGAAAGCGUAAUAGCUCACUGGUCAAGUGAAUCUGCGCCGAAAAUGUAACGGGGCUCAAGUUAGACACCGAAGCUAUGGGUUCGUAAUUUAUUACGAGCGGUAGGAGAGCACUGUAACGACUGCGAAGGUCGACCGUAAGGACGGCUGGAGUUUUUACAGGAGAUUAUGCCAACAUGAGUAGCGAUAAAACGGGUGAGAAACCCGUUCGCCGAAAACCCAAGGGUUCCUGGGUCAAGAUAAUCUUCCCAGGGUUAGUCGGAUCCUAAGGCGAGGCCGAAAGGCGUAGUCGAUGGAAAACAGGUUAAUAUUCCUGUACCGCCUUGUAUUUGUUGAAGCGAGGAAGGACGGAGAAGGGUAUAGACACCAGCCGGGUUCUGGACGUCCCGGUCGAAGCACGUAGGUGGGUCUCCUAGGAUAAAAACGGGAGACCUUAACACUGAGGUGUGAUGGGGUGACAAAUCUUCGGAUGCGUCAUUACUGGUUGAUCCCAUGCUUCCGAGAAAAGUUUCGCGUGGAGAAUAUUUGGCGUCCGUACCCCAAACCGACACAGGUGGGUAGGGUGAGUAUCCCAAGGCGCUUGAGUUAAUCGUGGUUAAGGAACUCUGCAAAAUGAUGCCGUAACUUCGGGAGAAGGCAUGCCCUUUAUGGUGAUAGACUUCGCGUCUUGAGCUUAAAAGGGUCGCAGUGAAAUGGGGCUGGCGACUGUUUACCAAAAACAUAGGUCUCUGCUAACUCGAAAGAGGAUGUAUAGGGACUGACGCCUGCCCGGUGCCGGAAGGUUAAGGGGAGAUGUUAGCGCAAGCGAAGCUUCGAACCGAAGCCCCGGUAAACGGCGGCCGUAACAAUAACGGUCCUAAGGUAGCGAAAUUCCUUGGCGGGUAAGUUC
rnacentral:rRNA from 1 species